UACAGAGGUCUCAAGCGUUGUUCGGAAUUACUGGGCGUAAAGGGCGCGUAGGCGGCCUUCUAAGUCGAACGUGAAAUCCCCGGGCUCAACCCGGGAACUGCGUCCGAUACUGGGAGGCUUGAAUCCGGGAGAGGGAUGUGGAAUUCCAGGUGUAGCGGUGAAAUGCGUAGAUAUCUGGAGGAACACCGGUGGCGAAGGCGGCAUCCUGGACCGGUAUUGACGCUGAGGCGCGAAAGCCAGGGGAGCAAACGGG
rnacentral:rRNA from 1 species